GAUGAACGCUGGCGGCGUGCCUAAUACAUGCAAGUCGAGCGAACAGACGAGGAGCUUGCUCCUCUGACGUUAGCGGCGGACGGGUGAGUAACACGUGGAUAACCUACCUAUAAGUCUGGGAUAAUUUCGGGAAACCGGAGCUAAUACCGGAUAAUAUAUUGAACCGCAUGGUUCAAUAGUGAAAGACGGUUUUGCUGUCACUUAUAGAUGGAUCCGCGCCGCAUUAGCUAGUUGGUAAGGUAACGGCUUACCAAGGCAACGAUGCGUAGCCGACCUGAGAGGGUGAUCGGCCACACUGGAACUGAGACACGGUCCAGACUCCUACGGGAGGCAGCAGUAGGGAAUCUUCCGCAAUGGGCGAAAGCCUGACGGAGCAACGCCGCGUGAGUGAUGAAGGUCUUCGGAUCGUAAAACUCUGUUAUUAGGGAAGAACAAAUGUGUAAGUAACUACGCACGUCUUGACGGUACCUAAUCAGAAAGCCACGGCUAACUACGUG
rnacentral:rRNA from 1 species